UUAGAAACUGAAUACAUGGCUGUCAAUGGUACCAACGUCUCUUUCGUAGUGAUAGGAUUGAUUGAGAAAAUCCUCCCCAGUGGGUUAGAGGAUGCUAAAGAAACAUUGAAAUCUUUGAGCUACAGACUCAGAUGGCCAAGAAGUUCCAGAGUGGCAGGCCUGGUAGUGAGUGGAGCUGCAGCGAUUGCACCUGCUGAGGGGAUUUCUGAAUGUCGGAGUGAGAUUUGUUACCUGAUGAUGCCUCAGGUCUGUGAAGACUUCUCUUCCCAG
rnacentral:lncRNA from 1 species